rnacentral:rRNA from 1 species
CCUACGGGAGGCAGCAGUGAGGAAUAUUGGUCAAUGGGCGCGAGCCUGAACCAGCCAAGUCGCGUGAGGGAAGACGGUCCUAUGGAUUGUAAACCUCUUUUGUCGGGGAGCAAAAGACGCCACGUGUGGCGUUCCGAGAGUACCCGAAGAAAAAGCAUCGGCUAACUCCGUGCCAGCAGCCGCGGUAAUACGGAGGAUCCGAGCGUUAUCCGGAUUUAUUGGGUUUAAAGGGAGCGGAGGUGGAUUGUUAAGUCAGUUGUGAAAUUUUGCGGCUCAACCGUAAAAGUGCAGUUGAAACUGGCAGUCUUGAGUACAGUAGAGGUGGGCGGAAUUCGUGGUGUAGCGGUGAAAUGCUUAGAUAUCACGAAGAACUCCGAUUGCGAAGGCAGCUCACUGGACUGCAACUGACACUGAUGCUCGAAAGUGUGGGUAUCAAACAGGAUUAGAUACCCGUGUAGUC